CAGGUAGGCGGCUGUGUAAGUUGGAGGUGAAAUCCUAAGGCUUAACCUUAGAACUGCCUUCAAAACUGCAUAGCUUGAGGCUAAAAGAGGAGAGCGGAAUUCCCGGUGUAAGGGUGAAAUCUGUAGAUAUCGGGAGGAACACCCGUGGCGAAAGCGGCUCUCUGGUUUAGCCCUGACGCUAAGCUGCGAAAGCUAGGGAAGCAAACAGGAUUAGAUACCCUGGUAGUCCUAGCCGUAAACGAUGAGCACUAGGUGUUGGAGGGCAACUUUCAGCGCCGCAAGUUAACACGUUAAGUGCUCCACCUGGGGACUACGGCCGCAAGGUUAAA
rnacentral:rRNA from 1 species